ensembl:lncRNA
CACACGCAGUCACCUACGUGCUCAGAUAAGGGCAGGGGGCUCCCGCCUCGCUGCGUCGCAUGUUGGUCCGUGUUGCACGUGGGGCAGUGUCACGCGGGGGCCAUGUAGCGUGUGGGGUCAUGUUGUGCGUGGGCCCGUGUCACGUGUGGACCUGUGUCGUGUGUGGGACCAGGUCAUGCAUGGAUCUGUGUCUUAUGUGGAUCCGUGUCACGUGUGGGCUCAUGUCAUACGUGCGUCUAUGUCACGUGUGGAUCGAUGUUGCGUGUGGGCUCAUGUUGCACGUGGGCUCAUGUCACGUGUGGAUCCGUGUUGCGUGUGGGCUCAUGUCGCACGUGGGCUCAUGUCACGUGUGGGCCCGUGUCGCGCGUGGGCUCAUGUUGCACGUGCCAUGUCGCGUGUGGAUCCGUGUCACAUGUGGGCUCAGGGUGCACGUGGGCUCAUGUCACGUGUGGGCCCGUGUCGCGUGUGGACCCGUGUUGCACGUGGGCCCAGGGUGCACGUGGGCUCAUGUCACGUGUGGGCCUGCGUCACGUGUGGACCCGCGUCGCGUGUGGAUCCGUGUCGCACGUGGGCUCAGGGUGCACGUGGGCUCAUGUCACGUGUGGGCCCGUGUCGCGUGUGGACCCGUGUCGCACGUGGGCUCAGGGUGCACGUGGGCUCAUGUCACGUGUGGGCCCGUGUCGCGUGUGGACCCGUGUCGCACGUGGGCUCAGGGUGCACGUGGGCUCAUGUCACGUGUGGGCCCGUGUCGCGUGUGGACCCGUGUCGCACGUGGGCUCAGGGUGCACGUGGGCUCAUGUCACGUGUGGGCCCGUGUCGCGUGUGGACCCGUGUCGCACGUGGGCUCAGGGUGCACGUGGGCUCAUGUCACGUGUGGGCCUGCGUCACGUGUGGACCCGCGUCGCGUGUGGAUCCGUGUCGCACGUGGGCUCAGGGUGCACGUGGGCUCAUGUCACGUGUGGGCCCGUGUCGCGUGUGGACCCGUGUCGCACGUGGGCUCAGGGUGCACGUGGGCUCAUGUCACGUGUGGGCCCGUGUCGCGUGUGGACCCGUGUCGCACGUGGGCUCAGGGUGCACGUGGGCUCAUGUCACGUGUGGGCCCGUGUCGCGUGUGGACCCGUGUCGCACGUGGGCUCAGGGUGCACGUGGGCUCAUGUCACGUGUGGGCCCGUGUCGCGUGUGGACCCGUGUCGCACGUGGGCUCAGGGUGCACGUGGGCUCAUGUCACGUGUGGGCCUGCGUCACGUGUGGACCCGCGUCGCGUGUGGAUCCGUGUCGCACGUGGGCUCAGGGUGCACGUGGGCUCAUGUCACGUGUGGGCCCGUGUCGCGUGUGGACCCGUGUCGCACGUGGGCUCAGGGUGCACGUGGGCUCAUGUCACGUGUGGGCCCGUGUCGCGUGUGGACCCGUGUCGCACGUGGGCUCAGGGUGCACGUGGGCUCAUGUCACGUGUGGGCCCGUGUCGCGUGUGGACCCGUGUCGCACGUGGGCUCAGGGUGCACGUGGGCUCAUGUCACGUGUGGGCCCGUGUCGCGUGUGGACCCGUGUCGCACGUGGGCUCAGGGUGCACGUGGGCUCAUGUCACGUGUGGGCCUGCGUCACGUGUGGACCCGCGUCGCGUGUGGAUCCGUGUCGCACGUGGGCUCAGGGUGCACGUGGGCUCAUGUCACGUGUGGGCCCGUGUCGCGUGUGGACCCGUGUCGCACGUGGGCUCAGGGUGCACGUGGGCUCAUGUCACGUGUGGGCCCGUGUCGCGUGUGGACCCGUGUCGCACGUGGGCUCAGGGUGCACGUGGGCUCAUGUCACGUGUGGGCCCGUGUCGCGUGUGGACCCGUGUCGCACGUGGGCUCAGGGUGCACGUGGGCUCAUGUCACGUGUGGGCCCGUGUCGCGUGUGGACCCGUGUCGCACGUGGGCUCAGGGUGCACGUGGGCUCAUGUCACGUGUGGGCCUGCGUCACGUGUGGACCCGCGUCGCGUGUGGAUCCGUGUCGCACGUGGGCUCAGGGUGCACGUGGGCUCAUGUCACGUGUGGGCCCGUGUCGCGUGUGGACCCGUGUCGCACGUGGGCUCAGGGUGCACGUGGGCUCAUGUCACGUGUGGGCCCGUGUCGCGUGUGGACCCGUGUCGCACGUGGGCUCAGGGUGCACGUGGGCUCAUGUCACGUGUGGGCCCGUGUCGCGUGUGGACCCGUGUCGCACGUGGGCUCAGGGUGCACGUGGGCUCAUGUCACGUGUGGGCCCGUGUCGCGUGUGGACCCGUGUCGCACGUGGGCUCAGGGUGCACGUGGGCUCAUGUCACGUGUGGGCCUGCGUCACGUGUGGACCCGCGUCGCGUGUGGAUCCGUGUCGCACGUGGGCUCAGGGUGCACGUGGGCUCAUGUCACGUGUGGGCCCGUGUCGCGUGUGGACCCGUGUCGCACGUGGGCUCAGGGUGCACGUGGGCUCAUGUCACGUGUGGGCCCGUGUCGCGUGUGGACCCGUGUCGCACGUGGGCUCAGGGUGCACGUGGGCUCAUGUCACGUGUGGGCCCGUGUCGCGUGUGGACCCGUGUCGCACGUGGGCUCAGGGUGCACGUGGGCUCAUGUCACGUGUGGGCCCGUGUCGCGUGUGGACCCGUGUCGCACGUGGGCUCAGGGUGCACGUGGGCUCAUGUCACGUGUGGGCCUGCGUCACGUGUGGACCCGCGUCGCGUGUGGAUCCGUGUCGCACGUGGGCUCAGGGUGCACGUGGGCUCAUGUCACGUGUGGGCCCGUGUCGCGUGUGGACCCGUGUCGCACGUGGGCUCAGGGUGCACGUGGGCUCAUGUCACGUGUGGGCCCGUGUCGCGUGUGGACCCGUGUCGCACGUGGGCUCAGGGUGCACGUGGGCUCAUGUCACGUGUGGGCCCGUGUCGCGUGUGGACCCGUGUCGCACGUGGGCUCAGGGUGCACGUGGGCUCAUGUCACGUGUGGGCCCGUGUCGCGUGUGGACCCGUGUCGCACGUGGGCUCAGGGUGCACGUGGGCUCAUGUCACGUGUGGGCCUGCGUCACGUGUGGACCCGCGUCGCGUGUGGAUCCGUGUCGCACGUGGGCUCAGGGUGCACGUGGGCUCAUGUCACGUGUGGGCCCGUGUCGCGUGUGGACCCGUGUCGCACGUGGGCUCAGGGUGCACGUGGGCUCAUGUCACGUGUGGGCCCGUGUCGCGUGUGGACCCGUGUCGCACGUGGGCUCAGGGUGCACGUGGGCUCAUGUCACGUGUGGGCCCGUGUCGCGUGUGGACCCGUGUCGCACGUGGGCUCAGGGUGCACGUGGGCUCAUGUCACGUGUGGGCCCGUGUCGCGUGUGGACCCGUGUCGCACGUGGGCUCAGGGUGCACGUGGGCUCAUGUCACGUGUGGGCCUGCGUCACGUGUGGACCCGCGUCGCGUGUGGAUCCGUGUCGCACGUGGGCUCAGGGUGCACGUGGGCUCAUGUCACGUGUGGGCCCGUGUCGCGUGUGGACCCGUGUCGCACGUGGGCUCAGGGUGCACGUGGGCUCAUGUCACGUGUGGGCCCGUGUCGCGUGUGGACCCGUGUCGCACGUGGGCUCAGGGUGCACGUGGGCUCAUGUCACGUGUGGGCCCGUGUCGCGUGUGGACCCGUGUCGCACGUGGGCUCAGGGUGCACGUGGGCUCAUGUCACGUGUGGGCCCGUGUCGCGUGUGGACCCGUGUCGCACGUGGGCUCAGGGUGCACGUGGGCUCAUGUCACGUGUGGGCCUGCGUCACGUGUGGACCCGCGUCGCGUGUGGAUCCGUGUCGCACGUGGGCUCAGGGUGCACGUGGGCUCAUGUCACGUGUGGGCCCGUGUCGCGUGUGGACCCGUGUCGCACGUGGGCUCAGGGUGCACGUGGGCUCAUGUCACGUGUGGGCCCGUGUCGCGUGUGGACCCGUGUCGCACGUGGGCUCAGGGUGCACGUGGGCUCAUGUCACGUGUGGGCCCGUGUCGCGUGUGGACCCGUGUCGCACGUGGGCUCAGGGUGCACGUGGGCUCAUGUCACGUGUGGGCCCGUGUCGCGUGUGGACCCGUGUCGCACGUGGGCUCAGGGUGCACGUGGGCUCAUGUCACGUGUGGGCCUGCGUCACGUGUGGACCCGCGUCGCGUGUGGAUCCGUGUCGCACGUGGGCUCAGGGUGCACGUGGGCUCAUGUCACGUGUGGGCCCGUGUCGCGUGUGGACCCGUGUCGCACGUGGGCUCAGGGUGCACGUGGGCUCAUGUCACGUGUGGGCCCGUGUCGCGUGUGGACCCGUGUCGCACGUGGGCUCAGGGUGCACGUGGGCUCAUGUCACGUGUGGGCCCGUGUCGCGUGUGGACCCGUGUCGCACGUGGGCUCAGGGUGCACGUGGGCUCAUGUCACGUGUGGGCCCGUGUCGCGUGUGGACCCGUGUCGCACGUGGGCUCAGGGUGCACGUGGGCUCAUGUCACGUGUGGGCCUGCGUCACGUGUGGACCCGCGUCGCGUGUGGAUCCGUGUCGCACGUGGGCUCAGGCGGCACCGGGAAAAGGGGACAGAAGCAGGGAAGGAGAGAGAGAAGGAGAGGAAAAUAGAUGGAGAAAAGGGAGGAGAAAUGGGAGGAGGAAGGGAAAAAGGGAAAGGAAACAGGGAGGAAGAAGGAGGAAGGAGAAACGAGCAGGAAGAGGCAGAGAAGAAUGAGCAAGAGAGAGAGGAGGAGGAGGAAAAGAAACGGAUGAAAGGGAGAAAAAGGGAAAAAAAGGGAGAGAAAUAAGCUUGAAGGAAAGAAGUGAUGGAGAGAAGGUGGGAGAAGGAGGAGAAGAGAGAUGGAUGGAGGAAGGGAUGGGGCACCUGGACAGCAGGAUGGAGGGAAGGUGGGGGGGGUGGAUAAAGAAAAAUUGGAGGGAGAGACCCAAAGAGAAAUUGGUAGAAAGCCAAAGGAACGGAUGAAAGGAGGAUAAGAGGAAGGAGAAAGGGCCGAAGGGAGGGUUGGGGCAGGAUGGAGAAACGCACAGAC